CCUGUUCCAGUUUGAAUUAAACUUUCUUAAACAUGGGAGACCAGAACUGCACCCAGUAUUCCAGAUGAGGUCUCACAACUGCCUUGUAUAACGGUACUAUCAUCUCCUUAU